rnacentral:rRNA from 1 species
GACGAACGCUGGCGGCGUGCUUAACACAUGCAAGUCGAACGGAAAGGCCCUGCUUUUGUGGGGUGCUCGAGUGGCGAACGGGUGAGUAACACGUGAGUAACCUGCCCUUGACUUUGGGAUAACUUCAGGAAACUGGGGCUAAUACCGGAUAGGAGCUCCUGCUGCAUGGUGGGGGUUGGAAAGUUUCGGCGGUUGGGGAUGGACUCGCGGCUUAUCAGCUUGUUGGUGGGGUAGUGGCUUACCAAGGCUUUGACGGGUAGCCGGCCUGAGAGGGUGACCGGCCACAUGGGGACUGGGAUACGGCCCAGACUCCUACGGGAGGCAGCGGUGGGGAAUAUUGCACAAUGGGCGGAGGCCUGAUGCAGCAACGCCGCGUGCGGGAUGACGGCCUUCGGGUUGUAAACCGCUUUCGCCUGUGACGAAGCGUGGGUGACGGUAAUGGGUAAAGAAGCACCGGCUAACUACGU